rnacentral:rRNA from 1 species
AUUGAACGCUGGCGGCAUGCUUUACACAUGCAAGUCGAACGGUAACAGGGAGCUUGCUCCGCUGACGAGUGGCGAACGGGUGAGUAAUGCAUCGGGAACGUACCCAGUCGUGGGGGAUAACGUAGCGAAAGUUACGCUAAUACCGCAUACGUCCUGAGGGAGAAAGCGGGGGACCGUAAGGCCUCGCGCGAUUGGAGCGGCCGAUGUCGGAUUAGCUAGUUGGUAGGGUAAAGGCCUACCAAGGCGACGAUCCGUAGCGGGUCUGAGAGGAUGAUCCGCCACACUGGAACUGAGACACGGUCCAGACUCCUACGGGAGGCAGCAGUGGGGAAUUUUGGACAAUGGGCGCAAGCCUGAUCCAGCCAUGCCGCGUGAGUGAAGAAGGCCUGGUUGUAAGACGUCUUUGUUCGGUAGCAAGUCUACUGGCUAAUAUCUGUGGGAGUGAGAGUACUGGAAGGAAUAAGACACCGGCUAACUACGUAG